UUAAAUUGAAGAGUUUGAUCAUGGCUCAGAUUGAACGCUGGCGGCAGGCCUAACACAUGCAAGUCGAACGGUAACAGGAAGCAGCUUGCUGUUUCGCUGACGAGUGGCGGACGGGUGAGUAAUGUCUGGGAAACUGCCUGAUGGAGGGGGAUAACUACUGGAAACGGUAGCUAAUACCGCAUAACGUCGCAAGACCAAAGAGGGGGACCUUCGGGCCUCUUGCCAUCGGAUGUGCCCAGAUGGGAUUAGCUUGUUGGUGGGGUAACGGCUCACCAAGGCGACGAUCCCUAGCUGGUCUGAGAGGAUGACCAGCCACACUGGAACUGAGACACGGUCCAGACUCCUACGGGAGGCAGCAGUGGGGAAUAUUGCACAAUGGGCGCAAGCCUGAUGCAGCCAUGCCGCGUGUAUGAAGAAGGCCUUCGGGUUGUAAAGUACUUUCAGCGGGGAGGAAGGGAGUAAAGUUAAUACCUUUGCUCAUUGACGUUACCCGCAGAAGAAGCACCGGCUAACUCCGUGCCAGCAGCCGCGGUAAUACGGAGGGUGCAAGCGUUAAUCGGAAUUACUGGGCGUAAAGCGCACGCAGGCGGUUUGUUAAGUCAGAUGUGAAAUCCCCGGGCUCAACCUGGGAACUGCAUCUGAUACUGGCAAGCUUGAGUCUCGUAGAGGGGGGUAGAAUUCCAGGUGUAGCGGUGAAAUGCGUAGAGAUCUGGAGGAAUACCGGUGGCGAAGGCGGCCCCCUGGACGAAGACUGACGCUCAGGUGCGAAAGCGUGGGGAGCAAACAGGAUUAGAUACCCUGGUAGUCCACGCCGUAAACGAUGUCGACUUGGAGGUUGUGCCCUUGAGGUGUGGCUUCCGGAGCUAACGCGUUAAGUCGACCGCCUGGGGAGUACGGCCGCAAGGUUAAAACUCAAAUGAAUUGACGGGGGCCCGCACAAGCGGUGGAGCAUGUGGUUUAAUUCGAUGCAACGCGAAGAACCUUACCUGGUCUUGACAUCCACGGAAGUUUUCAGAGAUGAGAAUGUGCCUUCGGGAACCGUGAGACAGGUGCUGCAUGGCUGUCGUCAGCUCGUGUUGUGAAAUGUUGGGUUAAGUCCCGCAACGAGCGCAACCCUUAUCCUUUGUUGCCAGCGGUCCGGCCGGGAACUCAAAGGAGACUGCCAGUGAUAAACUGGAGGAAGGUGGGGAUGACGUCAAGUCAUCAUGGCCCUUACGACCAGGGCUACACACGUGCUACAAUGGCGCAUACAAAGAGAAGCGACCUCGCGAGAGCAAGCGGACCUCAUAAAGUGCGUCGUAGUCCGGAUUGGAGUCUGCAACUCGACUCCAUGAAGUCGGAAUCGCUAGUAAUCGUGGAUCAGAAUGCCACGGUGAAUACGUUCCCGGGCCUUGUACACACCGCCCGUCACACCAUGGGAGUGGGUUGCAAAAGAAGUAGGUAGCUUAACCUUCGGGAGGGCGCUUACCACUUUGUGAUUCAUGACUGGGGUGAAGUCGUAACAAGGUAACCGUAGGGGAACCUGCGGUUGGAUCACCUCCUUACCUUAAAGAAGC
rnacentral:rRNA from 1 species